CCUACGGGAGGCAGCAGUAGGGAAUCUUCCACAAUGGACGCAAGUCUGAUGGAGCAACGCCGCGUGAGUGAAGAAGGGUUUCGGCUCGUAAAGCUCUGUUGUUAAAGAAGAACGUGGGUGAGAGUAACUGUUCACCCAGUGACGGUAUUUAACCAGAAAGCCACGGCUAACUACGUGCCAGCAGCCGCGGUAAUAAU
rnacentral:rRNA from 1 species